ensembl:lncRNA
GGGGUCAGAAGCUACUCCCAGGGGGUAUCGGGCUAAAAUUGUUGAAAGAAGAAACCGGCUCCUGCCCCAGAGUGGAUGCAAACAGAUCUGACAUGGUUUAAAAGCUGAUUAUUAGUGUUUAGGGACAGCUUGAUUUGUUAGAUUUGCUUUAUCAUCCCCUCCACCCCCCACCCCCUUCAAAAGUAUUUGUGCUGCUCUGACCCGAGCAUCUCAGAGGCUGGGAUAAAUCGAGUUAAAAGCCUAACGGAGGUCCCACCCUUGAAAGAGCCCGAGUGAGAGUCAAAUUUCAUAAAUGCAGAGAAUCCGGGGGGUGGGAAGGAGAGAGAAUCACAUGAGAAAGAAUUAGGACUGGCCCAAUAUGGAGAGCCUUCUGCCAAUUCAAAUAGGAGCGUUCAGUCGGAGACAUGGCAAAAUCAUUACAGGCCUGUGGAAGACCCGGUUUCCUAGGUAUGACUUUGGGGAGCAAACCGGAAUUCAAUAGGAAAUGCAUCUGGCCGCAGCCAGAAAUUGCGAUGUGGGAUCGGCUCGGCUGAACAUUUGUUUUCACUCCUGGGGUUUGCUGUCGGGGCAUUGUUCAAAGAGGGGAAAUUUUCCAAAGGCUUCUUUCUUAGGAAACCAAGAAGGAAGUAAAGAUAAGAAAUUUCCAUAUGGUGGCCGGCAGCUGAAGACAUGCUACCCACAGAAUAUGGCUCGACCCUGGAGUUGCCCCCAAAGAGAAGAGAUCUCUCCCUGCUCAGGCUCUCUUAGCGUUCUGUCCGACCUUCCCUUCGCUUUCUUUGACUUGGACAAACCAACUUUUACUGGGGAUUGGAUCAGACAACCUAGAAGACACUUUCCAUCUCCAAAACUAUGAUCUGGGAAUAGCCACAUUCUCCCACCUACUGCCCUUAAUAUACACACCACCAGCUCUGCUCCAAGCCUGGCCCCAUAUCAUCUGAGGAAACAGAUUCUAUGAAGAAGGUGCCCAGGAUCCCCAUCACGACCACCAUCAGGUGUCAAUCAGCAAGGAAACCCAAAGGAGAGACUGGCUGCAGCAGGAAAUUGUUGUCGUUCAUCCUUGGUUUUUUUUUUUCCAAAAAAUCUUUACUUUCUGUCUUAGUAACAACUCUAAGGCAGAAGGGCAAGAGCUAGACAAAUGGGGCUGUGUUCCACAUCUAGGAAGUGUCUGAGGCCACAUUUGAACCCAAGUCCUUCCAACUCCAGACCUAGUAUUCUAUCUACUGUAUUAAUUAUCCUACAAUGAAAAGUUUAAAUUCUUUUGAGAGUAAUUUUAGGAUAAGAAACUUGCUACCUCCCAGAAUCCAGAAAGUAAACUGUUUAGAGAAGGUGCCAUGAAGAUGACUGCAGAGACCACACAGUGCACCAGAAGAUACAGAGUGAACUUUGGGAUGUGGUGAUUUGAACUGUGUGGAGUUGAAUGCAUUUGUUUUGUAUGUAUACUAUUAUGUUGAAGGGGACUGCCCCCAAAUUGUUUUUUUUUGUCAAUGUAGCAAUCAUUGGUUUUGUUCCUUUUCUCUUUUAUUUCCCUCUUAUCACCUAGUUAUUGUCAUUUCCCUUUAGAAACUGCAAUGUUAUUUAUACCUUUAGUUAAAAAUGUUUAUAGUUUUAAGUUGAUUAUGUUUAAAAUAAUCCCUUGGGGAGACUAGUCUCCCAAAGGAUCACAGAGGGAAUGUGUAAAUAGAAUUUUGUAUCCCAUGACUACAUUUCCCAGCAUUCCCUUCAUCCACAUUGCAUCCUUAUGUAUUGUAUAUAAAAGUUUGCUCUUCUUCCUAAACACUCUUCUCUCUCUCUCUCUCUCUCUCUCUCUCUCUCUCUCUCUCUCUCUCUCUCUCUCUCUCUCUCUCCCCUGCUCUCCACAGUUAGGAACCUCCUCUUUACUAAGGCUAUUCUUUCCUCUGCUUCAAGUUAUUAUUAAUAAAUCUAAUAAAAAUAAUACCUGGAGUAAUUGG